rnacentral:lncRNA from 1 species
CACCCUGUCUGCAUCUGUAGGAGACAGAGUCACCAUCACUUGCCGGGCCAGUCAGAGUAUUAGUAGCUGGUUGGCCUGGUAUCAGCAGAAACCAGGGAAAGCCCCUAAGCUCCUGAUCUAUAAGGCGUCUAGUUUAGAAAGUGGGGUCCCAUCAAGGUUCAGCGGCAGUGGAUCUGGGACAGAAUUCACUCUCACCAUCAGCAGCCUGCAGCCUGAUGAUUUUGCAACUUAUUACUGCCAACAGUAU